rnacentral:lncRNA from 1 species
CUGUUGAGUUGGAAUCCAACGAGACAACAAACUUCAGACAGAAAGUUGAGAUUCCAUCGUGCUUGGAACUGAAAGAGUUGUUAAAAUUAGCACCAGAAAUUAUAGCAGAUGAAAGCAGAAGUGAAAAUAAAAUCAAAGAUCUUACUGCAAAUAUUACAAAUGAAAUAGAGAUUUCAAAAUACUGUCCCACAAUGGAAGAGGUUUGUUUCAAUCAGAGCAGAAAUCCACUGGAAUGCAGUGAGGCAGUUCGUUAUGCUUUAUAUCCUCAAUAUGAAGUAGAAAUACCACUAACUCCACCAUCCAGACCACAAAGAUCACUCGUGAAUUCACUUCAUGCAGGACUUCAGGCA